CAUCUACAAACAACUUGGGAUCUCUGUGGAAUCGGGCUGGAACCUGGGAGGAAAAAAACCUUAAUACUUGGGCAAGUAAUAGAAUAAAGGAGUUGGUUUGUUCUUUAGGUUCUCUGGAACUUUCUUGGGGUAAAGCGCAUGUUGUUGAGGUGUCCAAAUGUUCAGGCGAUGCUUUCUUGGUCAUUGUGCGUAAUAAAAAAAGAGUUGGCUACAGUUAUGAACUGACAGUGAAGUUUAGAGGGGAGAUAUUAAUCCAAGAGGAGACUAAAAAGUUCAAGGGGCGCCUGGAAAUUCCAGAGUUCUCAUACGGG
rnacentral:misc_RNA from 1 species